UAAAGAAAAAGACAUAUACAUAGAUAGAUUAUCUUUCCAUAAGGUUAAGCGAUCUGAUCUGACAAAUGUUAUAAGUGCUACACUCAUGAACUUUUCAUCCAUCAACUUUGUCUUGCUCACUAUGCUUAGGGUUAGAGAAGAACAAAUAUACUUUAGGUUCUGUUGGUGUUUUCCACCAACAGGACCCAUGCACUUGAUCUCUGCCUUGUCUCUAUGAGUAGGUUCACUUCAAGCAAAACACAGAAAAGAGGAGUUUUAUAACUCUCAGACUCUACCAAGUAAAGGACCUAGAUCUACGAGCACAAACACACUGAGCAGGUUACUGCCAACGCCGCACUUCGAACUGCUGGGCAAACGAAGAACAUGGGUGACACCGUAUCAAGAGGUGCAGACGUCAAGGUCCGCACCUGAAUCAAAUGACACACCUGAAGAAUGAACACGGUGAGAAGUCUUGUUAAGAAGACUUAAAACAUUGAACCCUCGCCGAAAGGUAAGAUCGGUAGUUAUCCAUAUUUAUCCUUUCUGCAUUCCCUUUUCCCUUUAAUUAUUUACUUUCCUUAAAUAGAUUAUUAGUUAAUCAUGCUAUCUUGAAAAGAAAAUAAAAAUGUUAAAAAAUACUAAGCCCCAUGUGAGUAUACGAGUGGCAUAAAACCUAUAAGUACCUUCACUGUGGUGGCAUAAAAAUAAAAUAAAUAUUUCUUUUCUACUUUAUAAAAUAAAAAUAUAAAAACAGGGAGUAAUAUUUAUUGAGGAAGCUCAACAUGAUGAAGGCUAGAUAUUUAUGCUAACACUUAAUUAGUUCCACAAGCUUUGUUGUCUAUUUGAGCUCCACAGAAUUUAAGAAUCAAGAAGACUAGCAGACAGAGGACAUUCUAAUCGCUGUCAGAAUGCUGCUGACUUUCAAAUACACCUCUGCCACCUACUAGCUACAUCAGGAGAAAUUACGUCAAAAUUC
rnacentral:lncRNA from 1 species